rnacentral:rRNA from 1 species
GGGCGUUUAGUAUUUGGUCGUAGACCCGUAACCAGGUGAUCUACCCUUGGUCAGUUUGUAGUUCAGGUAACACUGAAUGGAGGACCGAACCGACUUACGUUGAAAAGUGAGCGGAUGAACUGAGGGUAGCGUAGAAAUUCCAAUCGAACCUGGAGAUAGCUGGUUCUCUCCGAAAUAGCUUUAGGGCUAGCCUCAAGUGAUUAUUAUUGGAGGUAGAGCACUGUUUGGACGAGGGG